AGGACGAACGCUGGCGGCGCGCUUAACACAUGCAAGUCGAGCGAGAACCUGGCCUUUGGGCCUGGGGAAAGCGGCGAACGGGUGAGUAACACGUGGGUAACCCACCCUUGGUACCGGGAUAGCCCGAGGAAACUCGGAUUAAUACCGGAUGGCCCAACAGCUCUUCGGGGCGGUUGGAAAAGGUAGCUUCGGCCUCCGACCAAGGACGGGCCCGCGGCGGAUUAGCUUGUUGGUGAGGUAACGGCUCACCAAGGCGACGAUCCGUAGCUGGUCUGAGAGGAUGAUCAGCCACACUGGGACUGAGACACGGCCCAGACUCCUACGGGAGGCAGCAGUGGGGAAUAUUGGACAAUGGGGGCAACCCUGAUCCAGCAAUGCCGCGUGUGUGAAGAAGGCCUUCGGUUGUAAGCACUUUAUCCGGAACGAACGCGCAGGGCGAAUAACCUUGCGAACUGACGGUACCGGAGGAAUAAGCACCGGCUAACUUCGUGCCAGCAGCCGC
rnacentral:rRNA from 1 species